UACGUAGGGAGCGAGCGUUGUCCGGAAUCAUUGGGCGUAAAGAGCUCGUAGGCGGCUUGGUAAGUCGGAUGUGAAACCUCCAGGCUCAACCUGGAGUCGCCAUCCGAUACUGCCAUGGCUAGAGUCCGGUAGGGGCCCACGGAACUCCUGGUGUAGCGGUGAAAUGCGCAGAUAUCAGGAAGAACACCGGUGGCGAAGGCGGUGGGCUGGGCCGGCACUGACGCUGAGGAGCGAAAGCGUGGGGAGCGAACAGG
rnacentral:rRNA from 1 species